rnacentral:tRNA from 1 species
CCUGGUAUCUUAGCUGGUAAAGAAUCUGCCCACAAUGCAGGAAACCUGGGUUCGAUUCCUGGGUCAGGA